rnacentral:rRNA from 1 species
UCGGCUCAUCACAUCCUGGGGCUGAAGUAGGUCCCAAGGGUAUGGCUGUUCGCCAUUUAAAGUGGUACGCGAGCUGGGUUUAGAACGUCGUGAGACAGUUCGGUCCCUAUCUGCCGUGGGCGUAGGAUGAUUGAUUGGGGCUGCUCCUAGUACGAGAGGACCGGAGUGGACGCAUCACUGGUGUUCCGGUUGUGUCGCCAGACGCAUUGCUGGGUAGCUAAAUGCGGAAGAGAUAAGUGCUGAAAGCAUCUAAGCACGAAACUUGCCAAGAGAUGAGUCAUCCCUGACUUUAAGUCAGUAAGGGUUGUUGUAGACUACGACGUAGAUAGGUCAGGUGUGUAAGUGUAGUGAUACAUUGAGCUAACAGAUACUAAUUGCCCGAGAGGCUUAACUAUACAACGCUCAAG